AUACGUAGGUGGCAAGCGUUGUCCGGAAUUAUUGGGCGUAAAGCGCGCGCAGGUGGUUCCUUAAGUCUGAUGUGAAAGCCCCCGGCUCAACCGGGGAGGGUCAUUGGAAACUGGGGAACUUGAGUGCAGAAGAGGAUAGUGGAAUUCCAAGUGUAGCGGUGAAAUGCGUAGAGAUUUGGAGGAACACCAGUGGCGAAGGCGACUGUCUGGUCUGUAACUGACACUGAGGCGCGAAAGCGUGGGGAGCAAACAGGAUUAGAUACCCUGGUAGUCCACGCUGUAAACGAUGAGUGCUAAGUGUUGGGGGGUUUCCGCCCCUCAGUGCUGCAGCUAACGCAUUAAGCACUCCGCCUGGGGAGUACGGUCGCAAGACUGAAACUCAAAUGAAUUGACGGGG
rnacentral:rRNA from 1 species